rnacentral:rRNA from 1 species
AUUGAACGCUGGCGGCAUGCCUUACACAUGCAGGUCGAACGGCAGCGCGGGGCAACCUGGCGGCGAGUGGCGAACGGGUGAGUAAUAUAUCGGAACGUACCCUGGAGUGGGGGAUAACGUAGCGAAAGUUACGCUAAUACCGCAUACGAUCUAAGGAUGAAAGUGGGGGAUUCGCAAGAACCUCAUGCUCCUGGAGCGGCCGAUAUCUGAUUAGCUAGUUGGUAGGGUAAAAGCCUACCAAGGCAUCGNUCAGUAGCUGGUCUGAGAGGACGACCAGCCACACUGGAACUGAGACACGGUCCAGACUCCUACGGGAGGCAGCAGUGGGGAAUUUUGGACAAUGGGCGCAAGCCUGAUCCAGCAAUGCCGCGUGAGUGAAGAAGGCCUUCGGGUUGUAAAGCUCUUUUGUCAGGGAAGAAACGGGUUUUUCUAAUACAGAGAUCUAAUGACGGUACCUGAAGAAUAAGCACCGGCUAACUACGUGCCAGCAGCCGCGGUAAUACGUAGGGUGCAAGCGUUAAUCGGAAUUACUGGGCGUAAAGCGUGCGCAGGCGGUUUUGUAAGACUGUCGUGAAAUCCCCGGGCUCAACCUGGGAAUGGCGAUGGUGACUGCAAGGCUAGAGUUUGGCAGAGGGGGGUAGAAUUCCACGUGUAGCAGUGAAAUGCGUAGAUAUGUGGAGGAACACCGAUGGCGAAGGCAGCCCCCUGGGUCAAAACUGACGCUCAUGCACGAAAGCGUGGGGAGCAAACAGGAUUAGAUACCCUGGUAGUCCACGCCCUAAACGAUGUCUACUAGUUGUCGGGUUUUAAUUAACUUGGUAACGCAGCUAACGCGUGAAGUAGACCGCCUGGGGAGUACGGUCGCAAGAUUAAAACUCAAAGGAAUUGACGGGGACCCGCACAAGCGGUGGAUGAUGUGGAUUAAUUCGAUGCAACGCGAAAAACCUUACCUACCCUUGACAUGGCAGAAAUCCUCGAGAGAUUGAGGAGUGCUCGAAAGAGAAUCUGCACACAGGUGCUGCAUGGCUGUCGUCAGCUCGUGUCGUGAGAUGUUGGGUUAAGUCCCGCAACGAGCGCAACCCUUGUCAUUAGUUGCUACGAAAGAGCACUCUAAUGAGACUGCCGGUGACAAACCGGAGGAAGGUGGGGAUGACGUCAAGUCCUCAUGGCCCUUAUGGGUAGGGCUUCACACGUCAUACAAUGGUACAUACAGAGGGCCGCCAACCCGCGAGGGGGAGCUAAUCCCAGAA